rnacentral:lncRNA from 1 species
AAAGAUUUUGAUCAUAUUUAAGAUCAGGUAUAUUUCUUUCAUUGUAAAACAUGUAGUCCCAGUUAUAUAUUUGUUUAUAUUUUCUUUAUUUUCCUCAUUGGUUGUUUUAUUAGUUUAAACAUUUUGAGUUAUAUAUGUUUUUGAAUAUAUAUCCAGCAUAAUAUCAGGCCUUUAUAACUUUAUAAACAAUAUUAUUGAAUUUAUUUUAUAUUGUACAAUCAAUGAUAGACUUUUCUCGGUAUAAUUUGUGUUCAGUGCAUAUAUUUAAGCAUUAAUAGAAAUCCAGACAACCUUUACAUGUACUCUGUAUAAGACACAAGACUAUCAAAUUAUAUUUCUUCUGCACUGAAAAGCCUUGGUUCCAGUCAGAUAAGAAUUACAUUUGUGCAUAUUGUGGUUUAGCUAAUUUUUGUUUCUUAUUUCAUUAUUAUUCUUUUUCAUUAAUUGUGUCUCAAUCAGUUUGAUUAUUUCUUAUUAACAAGUUGGAUAUAUGUGGUAUGUUAACAGUCUAUAGUAUUUUUUGAAACCUUAAAAAUUUAAAAAUCCAAAUUUUAUUUUUUCCCUUUCCUACAUAUUUUUUUUUUUUUUUUUACAGAAUUAAACUAUUUUGAAUAUGAUAACAAAUUAUUUUAGGAGAUUUCUUUUUAAAGCCCUUAUUUUUCUGGACUCAAAAGUAUUUUUCUACAUAUUUGAUAUAAGUAGAUGUACUCAAAAUGAACAUCUGAACUUGCCAGUGCUUGGUCAGCACGUUUAAUUACAAUUAAAACUUAUAUGUGUAUAUAUAUUGUUGGUAUGUGAAUCUCCAGACGUGUUGUGAAUUAUUUUUCCUUGAAUCUCAUUAGAUGUAUUAAUAUGAAUCCUUAUUUAUUUCUAGUCAAUGUAGGGUUGUUGAUUUUUAAAACUUUAAGACAAUAUCAUUUGUUUACUUUUUAUUAAUAAAACCAUGAGAUAUCCUU